GAUGAACGCUGGCGGCGUGCCUAAUACAUGCAAGUCGAGCGAACAGACGAGGAGCUUGCUCCUCUGACGUUAGCGGCGGACGGGUGAGUAACACGUGGAUAACCUACCUAUAAGACUGGGAUAACUUCGGGAAACCGGAGCUAAUACCGGAUAAUAUAUUGAACCGCAUGGUUCAAUAGUGAAAGGCGGUUUUGCUGUCACUUAUAGAUGGAUCCGCGCCGCAUUAGCUAGUUGGUAAGGUAAUGGCUUACCAAGGCGACGAUGCGUAGCCGACCUGAGAGGGUGAUCGGCCACACUGGAACUGAGACACGGUCCAGACUCCUACGGGAGGCAGCAGUAGGGAAUCUUCCGCAAUGGGCGAAAGCCUGACGGAGCAACGCCGCGUGAGUGAUGAAGGUCUUCGGAUCGUAAAACUCUGUUAUUAGGGAAGAACAAAUGUGUAAGUAACUAUGCACGUCUUGACGGUACCUAAUCAGAAAGCCACGGCUAACUACGUG
rnacentral:rRNA from 1 species